rnacentral:siRNA from 1 species
AUCAUAUAUGCCUAGCGAACAAUA